UACGUAGGGGGCGAGCGUUGUCCGGAAUCAUUGGGCGUAAAGCGCGUGUAGGCGGCUUGCCAAGUCCGAUGUGAAAUCUCGGGGCUCAACCCCGAAACUGCAUUGGAAACUGGUUUGCUAGAGUCCGGAAGAGGAGAGUGGAAUUCCUGGUGUAGCGGUGAAAUGCGCAGAUAUCAGGAAGAACACCGGUGGCGAAGGCGGCUCUCUGGGACGGUACUGACGCUGAGACGCGAAAGCGUGGGUAGCGAACAGG
rnacentral:rRNA from 1 species